CGUUAAUGUUGUUAUUUGGACUUUGACGUUCUAUUUUUAUCGUUUUAAAUAAGUCUGCAGUAAAGGAGCCUACUUAAAUUUGGAAUUGCUGUUUCAUACUGAUGUCGGAAAACAGAAAGAAUACAACACUUAAAGAUGAGAAGAAAACUUCCGCAGGUACAGAUUCUGAAGGUUUU